AACACUGUUAACCUGCGGUACCUGCGGAGGGAUCAUUACAGAGUUCGUGCCCUCGCGGGUAGAUCUCCCACCCUUGUGUAUUUUCUACAUCUUGUUGCUUUGGCAGGCCGUUGGUUCGCCAACCACCGGCUCGCGGGCUGGUGCGUGCCUGCCAGAGGACCUCUCAAACUCGGUUUGUUAGUGUCGUCUGAGUACCAUAACAAUCGUUAAAACUUUUAACAACGGAUCUCAGAUCGGAAG
rnacentral:misc_RNA from 1 species